GGCAUAAGCCCGCUUGACUGCGAGAAUGACAAUUCGAGCAGGUGCGAAAGCAGGUCAUAGUGAUCCGGUGGUUCUGAAUGGAAGGGCCAUCGCUCAACGGAUAAAAGGUACUCCGGGGAUAACAGGCUGAUACCGCCCAAGAGUUCAUAUCGACGGCGGUGUUUGGCACCUCGAUGUCGGCUCAUCACAUCCUGGGGCUGAAGUCGGUCCCAAGGGUAUGGCUGUUCGCCAUUUAAAGUGGUACGCGAGCUGGGUUUAGAACGUCGUGAGACAGUUCGGUCCCUAUCUGCCGUGGGCGUUGGAAGAUUGAAGGGGGCUGCUCCUAGUACGAGAGGACCGGAGUGGACGAACCUCUGGUGUUCGGGUUGUGUCGCCAGACGCAUUGCCCGGUAGCUAAGUUCGGAAUCGAUAACCGCUGAAAGCAUCUAAGCGGGAAGCGAGCCCUGAGAUGAGUCUUCCCUGAUACUUUAAGUAUCCUAAAGGGUUGUCGGAGACUACGACGUUGAUAGGUCAGGUGUGUAAGUGCUGUGAGGCAUUGAGCUAACUGAUACUAAUUGCCCGUGAGGCUUAACCAUACAACACCCAAGGGGUUU
rnacentral:rRNA from 1 species